UACGGGGGGGGCAAGCGUUGUUCGGAAUUACUGGGCGUAAAGGGCUCGUAGGCGGCCAACUAAGUCAUACGUGAAAUCCCCCGGCUUAACCGGGGAACGUGCGUCUGAUACUGGAUGGCUUGAGUCGGGAGAGGGAUGCGGAAUUCCAGGUGUAGCGGUGAAAUGCGUAGAUAUCUGGAGGAACACCGGUGGCGAAGGCGGCGAUCCCUGGACCGAUACUGACGCUGAGGAGCGAAAGCCAGGGGAGCAAACGGGAUU
rnacentral:rRNA from 1 species